CCUACGGGAGGCAGCAGUAGGGAAUAUUGUUCAAUGGGGGAAACCCUGAAGCAGCAACGCCGCGUGGAGGAUGAAGGUUUUCGGAUUGUAAACUCCUUUUGUUAGAGAAGAUAAUGACGGUAUCUAACGAAUAAGCACCGGCUAACUCCGUGCCAGCAGCCGCGGUAAUACGGAGGGUGCAAGCGUUACUCGGAAUCACUGGGCGUAAAGAGCGCGUAGGCGGGAUAGCAAGUCAGAUGUGAAAUCCUAGGGCUUAACCAUAGAACUGCAUUUGAAACUGUUAUUCUAGAGUAUGGGAGAGGUAGGUGGAAUUCUUGGUGUAGGGGUAAAAUCCGUAGAGAUCAAGAGGAAUACUCAUUGCGAAGGCGACCUGCUAGAACAUAACUGACGCUGAUGCGCGAAAGCGUGGGGAGCAAACAGGAUUAGAUACCCCAGUAGUC
rnacentral:rRNA from 1 species